rnacentral:misc_RNA from 1 species
GACAGGUUCUAAUCUAUCUUGUGACUUUAAUGUACUAGUUCAAAUUUUCCUUCAUCUGCAAUGCACUAGUAUCCCAAGGUUUCCAUAGUUGGGUUAUUGGGUGAACCUUUACUGUAGUUGGAAACAGAUUGAAAACAAUGUCCUGUUUGUUUCUACACAACAACGACAAUGACAACGACUAAGCUUUAAUCCCAACCUAGUAGGGGUCGGCUGGCCUGUUUGUUUCUAUAAAGAAAAGAAAUUCUGUUGCAUGUUAUUUUACAUUUUUACUGCAAUUCGGAAAUUGUUGUUAAUUUUGUGAAAAUUCUUUAUUUGUUUGUUCUGUUGAAAUUGAUCCGGCAAAGAUAAACAGUUGUAAGAAUGGCUUGCAAUAAAUAAUAUCUAAUGCUCACUCGUUCCACACUUAUUGCAUUCCCAUCAACUAUAGGCUAUCACAUAUUAUUUAUUGCAAGCAUAUUCAGAAAAUUUUGAGUUUAACUUGCUACUAUAAUGCUAAACUAAAAUUAAUUUUAACUGCAAGAAUGACAAGACAGUAAAUCUUGUGACUGCUGAGGGCCAAUCAUAUUUCCAUUUCCAUUUUCUCUUCUAGUUGUAUAUGCUAAAUUGUCUUUUUUAUCUUGUUUCUUGAUGUUCUUUGCUAUGAAAUCUUU